CACUCCACUUUCUCAGACUCCAUGUUAAACUGUCUACACAGAGUGAGAGCAACAUCUUUAGACAGGGGAUGAAAUUGCACAUUUUUACAUGCUACAUCCCCAACAAACACAAUAUCCAAAUUCACAGUGACAUCAUCACUUUGUUUCUCCUUCUUAGAUGUGCAUUUUCGAGAUGGGAGCUUUAGUUUUUCUCCUCUCCGAGUAGAUGCACAGACUACUGGUGUGACAGGACUCUCCUCAGUAGGAGCAGUAACCUGUCCUCUACAUUCAUCAACUGCACCUGGGCACUUCACACAAACAACACUGAUCUCAAAGAGCUUGGGUGUUUGUUUCACAGAUCCUGCAAACUUAGAAAAGUGCUCCAGCAGAUGCUGGAGCGAACUGAAAUAGAGCACGGCGUUCUGCCCUGCACCAUCAACCAUCCCAUCCGCACUGCAAGCAUGUGAGUCCACUACUGCAUACUGACCUCUUUCACCAAUGAUGGCACAAGUAUGGCCAGCAAGUGUAAAGAAGCAGAUCUUGUAUUUUGUGCACAUCUUACUCAAUCCAUCAGAGAGAAGUAAUGAAUUCUGACUAAAUCAUCUC